CUGCCCAAUGAUAAAUUAAAUGGCUGCAAAAUUUAUAAUUGUACUAAGGUAGCAUAAUAAUUUGUUUUUUAAUUAAAAACUUGAAUGAACGAUUAAAUGAAAUAUAAACUAUUUCAAUUAAAAAAAUUAAAUUUUUUAUUUAAGUUAAAAAACUUAAAUAAUUUUAAAAGACGAUAAGACCCUAUAAAAUUUUAUUUAUUUAUUAAAUAUAAAAAUAAUUAAUAAAAUUAAAAUUAAAAAAUAAAUUUAAUUGGGGUAAUUUAAAAAUUUAAAAAAUUUUUUAUUUAUUAACAAAAAUUAUUGAAUAAAAUAUAUUAAAUUUUAAAUUAAUAAAAUUAAUUACUUUAGGGAUAACAGCAUAAUUUUUUUUUUAAGAUCAAAUUUAUAAAAAAGAUUAUGACCUCGAUGUUGAAUUAAGAUAAAAUUUAAAUGAAAAAAUUUAAAAAUUUAAGUCUGUUCGACU
rnacentral:rRNA from 1 species